UGACCCAUGAGGAGAGCACGUGA
rnacentral:piRNA from 1 species